rnacentral:rRNA from 1 species
GUGGGGAAUAUUGCACAAUGGGGGAAACCCUGAUGCAGCGACGCCGCGUGGAGGAAGAAGGUCUUCGGAUUGUAAACUCCUGUUGUUGAGGAAGAUAAUGACGGUACUCAACAAGGAAGUGACGGCUAACUACGUGCCAGCAGCCGCGGUAAAACGUAGGUCACAAGCGUUGUCCGGAAUUACUGGGUGUAAAGGGAGCGCAGGCGGGAAGACAAGUUGGAAGUGAAAUCUAUGGGCUCAACCCAUAAACUGCUUUCAAAACUGUUUUUCUUGAGUAGUGCAGAGGUAGGCGGAAUUCCCGGUGUAGCGGUGGAAUGCGUAGAUAUCGGGAGGAACACCAGUGGCGAAGGCGGCCUACUGGGCACCAACUGACGCUGAGGCUCGAAAGUGUGGGUAGCAAACAGGA